CUACGGGCUGCUGCAGUAGGGAAUCUUAGACAAUGGGGGAAACCCUGAUCUAGCCAUGCCGCGUGAGUGAUAAAGGCCUUAGGGUUGUAAAGCUCUUUCGCUGGGGAAGAUAAUGACGGUACCCAGUAAAGAAACCCCGGCUAACUCCGUGCCAGCAGCCGCGGUAAUACGGAGGGGGUUAGCGUUGUUCGGAAUUACUGGGCGUAAAGCGCGCGUAGGCGGGCUAUUAAGUCAGGGGUGAAAUCCCGGGGCUCAACCCCGGAACUGCCUUUGAUACUGGUAGUCUUGAGUUCGAGAGAGGUGAGUGGAAUGCCGAGUGUAGAGGUGAAAUGCGUAGAUAUUCGGAGGAACAUCAGUGGCGAAGGCGACUCACUGGCUCGAUACUGACGCUGAGGUGCGAAAGUGUGGGGAGCAAACAGGAUUAGAUACCCUGGUAGUC
rnacentral:rRNA from 1 species